rnacentral:rRNA from 1 species
GUUGAACGCUGGCGGCAUGCUUUAUACAUGCAAGUCGAACGAUAACAUGCCGCACUUUGCUGUCGAAUGUUGGCCGGGUGCGUAAUAGUAACGCACGGGCCCCCUCCUUGUGGAUCACUACUCACAACAGUAGCUAAUACCUCAUACGAUCUAUUGAUGAAAGCGGCGUGCCGUAAUGCCUCGCGCGAUUGUUGCUGCCGAUGUCAGAUUAGUUAGUUGGUGAGGUAAAGGCUUACCAAGCCAACGAUCUGUAGCUGAUCUGAGAGGACGACCCGCCACACUGGGACUGAGACACGGUCCAGACUCCUACGGGAGGCAGCAGUGGGGAAUUUUGGACAAUGGGCGAAAGCCUGAUCGAGCAAUGCCGCGUGAAGGAAGAAGGUCUUCGGGUUGUAAACUGCUGUUGUAAGGAAAGAAAAGGUGCUGGUUAAUACCCGCAGCUAAUGACGGUACCGUAAGAGUAAGCACCGGCUAACUACGUG